rnacentral:rRNA from 1 species
CUACGGGGUGCACCAGUGGGGAAUAUUACACAAUGGGCGCAAGCCUGAUGCAGCCAUGCCGCGUGUAUGAAGAAGGCCUUCGGGUUGUAAAGUACUUUCAGCGGGGAGGAAGGGAGUAAAGUUAAUACCUUUGCUCAUUGACGUUACCCGCAGAAGAAGCACCGGCUAACUCCGUGCCAGCAGCCGCGGUAAUACGGAGGGUGCAAGCGUUAAUCGGAAUUACUGGGCGUAAAGCGCACGCAGGCGGUUUGUUAAGUCAGAUGUGAAAUCCCCGGGCUCAACCUGGGAACUGCAUCUGAUACUGGCAAGCUUGAGUCUCGUAGAGGGGGGUAGAAUUCCAGGUGUAGCGGUGAAAUGCGUAGAGAUCUGGAGGAAUACCGGUGGCGAAGGCGGCCCCCUGGACGAAGACUGACGCUCAGGUGCGAAAGCGUGGGGAGCAAACAGGAUUAGAUACCCCCGUAGUC